rnacentral:tRNA from 1 species
GGUCCAGUAGCUCAGUGGAAUAGAGCAACUGCCUUCUAAGCAGUCGGUCGAUGGUUCGAAUCCAUCCUGGAUCG